rnacentral:lncRNA from 1 species
UGUGGUGUCAACAUCAGUUACCUCAGUCCUUUUUGUACUGUUUCUAUAGUGGCAAAAGAAGAGUUUAGAAUCGAUUGAUCUAUAUUUUCUCACCGAAGAUGACACAAAAAUAUGAUCUUCUGUGAUAUAUCUGUUCUUUUUUUAUUGCGUAUAUACAAUGAAUUCAUACAUAUUUUAUGAAAACCUUUCACCAAAAGCUCUCACAAUCCUAUAAAAAUGCCUGCUUGCUGUGUUUUCUGCGAUGCAGGAAGAUUGAUAUUUGGAGAAAUGAUGGACUUCCAAAAUAACUUUGUAUUCUCUGACCUGCUUCACUAAUGCUCGUCGCUGUAAAACCAGGGUGGGUGGAAAGUGCAAUUUGCAGAGAAGGAAAGGUGGAGGCACAUCCUGAAGCUUCAUGACACCAAUCACACCUCGCAGCCAAGCCCUCCUGCUGCUGGAGCCGCCUCCUCCUCUACCAACCUACUAAGCCUGCUGCAUUAGACCGCAGAAAGCUUCCUGGCCCAUAUUCCAACUCCUGCUACCUCCAGUUCACCUGCCAAGAGCUCCUGGUCCCAAUCGUGGUGACAAUCUUCAACCCACUGCACUUACCUGGCUCACAGCUUGGUCAAGGCAACCAAGCUCGGGUGCAAAAGGGUUCUUAAGGAAAGAACAAGUGCAAGAGAUGGAGCCUGAGAGAAACACCUAUGGGAAAGAAUAACAUCACCCGGUAGUGGGCAUCACCCACAGGGAACGGUUGUCAACCUGGGAGCAGGUCACAGUCGUGAAGGAAGGUUGGUUUAUUCAGCAUUCACUCAGAAAGGCUUCUCGUGGGUUAUG